AACAGGAUUAGAUACCCUGGUAGUCCACGCCGUAAACGAUGGAUACUCGCUGCGAGCUAAAGAUUGUUCGUGGCUUAGGGAAACCGAUAAGUAUCCCACCUGGGGAGUACGCCGGCAACGGUGAAACUCAAAGGAAUUGACGGGGGCCCGCACAAGUGGUGGAGCAUGUGGUUUAAUUCGAUGAUACGCGAGGAACCUUACCUAGGCUAGAAUGCGCGUGACCGGCUCAGAGAUGAGCCUUUCCUUCGGGACACAAAGCAAGGUGCUGCAUGGCCGUCGUCAGCUCGUGCCGUGAGGUGUUGGGUUAAGUCCCGCAACGAGCGCAACCCCUAUAGUUAGUUGCCAGCACGCCAAGGUGGGGACUCUAGCUAGACUGCCUGCGCAAGCAGUGAGGAAGGCGGGGACGACGUCAGGUCAUCAUGGCCCUUACGCCUAGGGCGACACACGUGCUACAAUGGACGGUACAGCGGGUAGCUACCAGGCGACUGGAUGCCAAUCUCGAAAAGCCGUUCUCAGUUCGGAUUGGAGUCUGCAACUCGACUCCAUGAAGCUGGAAUCACUAGUAAUCGCGCAUCAGCCAUGGCGCGGUGAAUACGUUCCCGGGCCUUGUACACACCGCCCGUCAAGCCAUGAAAGUCUGGUAGACCUGAAGCUGGUGCUCGUCACAGAAGCCAGUUAGGGUAGAACAGGUAAUUAGGGCUAAGUCGUAACAAGGUAACC
rnacentral:rRNA from 1 species